AAAUUGAAGAGUUUGAUCAUGGCUCAGAUUGAACGCUGGCGGCAGGCCUAACACAUGCAAGUCGAACGGUAACAGGAAGCAGCUUGCUGCUUCGCUGACGAGUGGCGGACGGGUGAGUAAUGUCUGGGAAACUGCCUGAUGGAGGGGGAUAACUACUGGAAACGGUGGCUAAUACCGCAUAACGUCGCAAGACCAAAGAGGGGGACCUUCGGGCCUCUUGCCAUCAGAUGUGCCCAGAUGGGAUUAGCUGGUUGGUGAGGUAACGGCUCACCAAGGCGACGAUCCCUAGCUGGUCUGAGAGGAUGACCAGCCACACUGGAACUGAGACACGGUCCAGACUCCUACGGGAGGCAGCAGUGGGGAAUAUUGCACAAUGGGCGCAAGCCUGAUGCAGCCAUGCCGCGUGUAUGAAGAAGGCCUUCGGGUUGUAAAGUACUUUCAGCGGGGAGGAAGGUGUUGUGGUUAAUAACUGCAGCAAUUGACGUUACCCGCAGAAGAAGCACCGGCUAACUCCGUGCCAGCAGCCGCGGUAAUACGGAGGGUGCAAGCGUUAAUCGGAAUUACUGGGCGUAAAGCGCACGCAGGCGGUCUGUCAAGUCGGAUGUGAAAUCCCCG
rnacentral:rRNA from 1 species